rnacentral:rRNA from 1 species
AGAGUUUGAUCCUGGCUCAGGAUGAACGCUGGCAGUAUGCUUAACACAUGCAAGUCGUACGGAAAUUUUUAGCAAUAAAAAUUUGAGUGGCGGACGGGUGAGUAACGCGUAAGAAUCUUCCUUAAGGAGAGGGAUAACUAUUGGAAACGAUGGGUAAUCCCUCAUAUGGAGUCAUCUGAAAAAGAGUGAAGCUUGCUUCAAGUCUGCCUUAAGAUGAGCUUGCGUCUGAUUAGCUAGUUGGUGAGGUAAUGGCUUACCAAGGCAGUGAUCAGUAGCUGGUCUGAGAGGAUGAUCAGCCACACUGGGACUGAGACACGGCCCAGACUCCUACGGGAGGCAGCAGUGAGGAAUUUUCCGCAAUGGGCGAAAGCCUGACGGAGCAAUACCGCGUGAAGGAUGAAGGCCUAUGGGUCGUAAACUUCUUUUCUCAGAGAAGAAUUUUGACGGUAUCUGAGGAAUAAGCAUCGGCUAACUCUGUGCCAGCAGCCGCGGUAAGACAGAGGAUGCAAGCGUUAUCCGGAAUGAUUGGGCGUAAAGCGUCUGUAGGUGGUUUCACAAGUCUUCUGUCAAAGAUCAGGGCUUAACCCUGGGCAGGCAGGAGAAACUAUGAGGCUUGAGUUCGGUAGGGGCAGAGGGAAU